rnacentral:tRNA from 2 species
UCUAAUAUGGCAGAUUAGUGCAAUGGAUUUAAGCUCCAUAUAUAAAAAGUCAUCUUUUUUGUUAGAA